rnacentral:rRNA from 1 species
ACGGGUGAGUAACGCGUGGGAAUUUACCCUUCGGUGGGGGAUAACCUUGGGAAACAGAGGGUAAUACCGCAUACGCCCUAAGGGGGAAAGAUUUAUCGCUGAAAGAUAACCCCGUGUUGGAUUAGCUAGUUGGUGAGGUAAUGGCUCACCAAGGCGACGAUCCCUAGCUGGUCUGAGAGG